rnacentral:pre_miRNA from 1 species
GUUGGUACCACGGAGCACCCAGUCGUAGCCGAUGUUCCACAGGAGCGGCCCGAGGACCGAGCCCUGCGGGACACCGCACGACAUCGCUCUACGGUGCCAC